UCUGCCGUGGGCGCUGGAGAAUUGAGGGGGGCUGCUCCUAGUACGAGAGGACCGGAGUGGACGCAUCACUGGUGUUCGGGUUGUCAUGCCAAUGGCACUGCCCGGUAGCUAAAUGCGGAAGAGAUAAGUGCUGAAAGCAUCUAAGCACGAAACUUGCCCCGAGAUGAGUUCUCCCUGAGACUUUAGGUCUCCUGAAGGAACGUUGAAGACGACGACGUUGAUAGGCCGGGUGUGUAAGCGCAGCGAUGCGUUGAGCUAACCGGUACUAAUGAACCGUGAGGCUUAACCUUACAACGCCGAAG
rnacentral:rRNA from 1 species